rnacentral:lncRNA from 1 species
AUGCCACGGUGGGUGCAUGAGCAAGUCAGCUACACCUGUGAGAGCACCAAGCAUGCUAUGGAUGCUCUGUUUGAGCACAACCUUUUGCAGAAGUUUUCUCUGAAGGUGCUUGCAAUGAGAGGUCCUCACCCUGCUCCCUGCACAAGAGGCACUGGGGCUGCUGAGCACCCCUGCACCCCUGAGGCAGCUCCAUCAAUGCAGCCAACAUCACAAAGUGCACAAAGAGACAUGCCUUGCGUGGGGGAAGAGGGGCACUGGGAAGAGGCCUUAUAAUGAUCGUCAUAAAUCUUUGAAGUUGUUGAAAGCCAGAAGGAUUUCUCCCUUCAUCAAGCUGCAGACUGUAAUGAAUGCUAUUAAGGACCUGCACUGUUCAUCUUGCAGGUAUUUAUGCCUAUUAACUGCUAGAUAAGCAUACAUUGGUCUUCUCAUCAGUAUACAGACAUGUCAUUGGGUUUACCUUUGUUGAUCUGAAGUCCCACGACUGCUGUUGCUUGCUUGAUGCCACAUUUUCUACAUCUCUUACAGCAUUUGAGGCAGAUCAUUUCCAUUUGCCAUAUUCCAAGGAUUACUGUCCCUGAGGCUUAUGACUUUUCUACAACCACAUUCAGCAGAAUGGAGUUUUAAGUGCAUAUCUCUAGUUAAAUCUAACUCAGCUUGGAUUUCAC